rnacentral:rRNA from 1 species
UCCUACGGGGGGCAGCAGUCGAGAAUUUUUCACAAUGGGCGCAAGCCUGAUGGAGCGACGCCGCGUGGGGGAUGAAGGGCUUCGGCCCGUAAACCCCUGUCAUUUGCGAACAAACCUUGCCUGAUAACACCAGGCGAGCUGAUUGUAGUGAAAGAGGAAGGGACGGCUAACUCUGUGCCAGCAGCCGCGGUAAUACAGAGGUCCCAAGCGUUGUUCGGAUUCACUGGGCGUAAAGGGUGCGUAGGUGGUGAGGUAAGUCGGAUGUGAAAUCUCUGAGCUCAACUCAGAAAUGGCAUUGGAAACUACCUUGCUUGAGGAUUGGAGGGGGGACUGGAAUUCUCGGUGUAGCAGUGAAAUGCGUAGAGAUCGAGAGGAACACCAGUGGCGAAGGCGAGUCCCUGGACAAUACCUGACGCUGAGGCACGAAAGCUAGGGGAGCAAACAGGAUUAGAUACCCCUGUAGUC